AUGUUCAUCAAAUGCAAAUUAUGCAAAAACAUGAAAGAAAUAAAACGUGGAUUCGAAGCAGAGAUACAUAGAAAACCAGAUAUGAGUUUGAGGAUGAAGGUUGAAGAGGUGCAGGUUGAUGAAGGAAAUAGGAUGAGGUUUUGGAAAGAUAUUUUGCAGGGCACUGGUGGAUUUGAGGGAUUUUUUGGGGGAAGUUUGGGUCCAUUUGAACAAUUCUGGUUUUGGAGUGAUGUGGUCAACAGGUUUAGGGAUAACAUCAGGGUUGUUUGGGCAGCAAUGUUUGGACAAAAUUGCAGCAGAUUGAUGCAGUUUUGUUCUUACCAUUUUGAGUUAUGCAGAGGCUAA